GAUGAACGCUAGCGGCAGGCCUAACACAUGCAAGUCGAGGGGUAGCAGGAUUAAGCUUGCUUAAUUGCUGACGACCGGCGCACGGGUGCGUAACGCGUAUGCAACCUACCUUAUACUGGGGUAUAGCCCGGAGAAAUUCGGAUUAAUCCCCCAUAGUACUAAUGAAUCGCAUGGUUUAUUAGUUAAAGCAUUGCGGUAUAAGAUGGGCAUGCGUCCUAUUAGCUAGAUGGUGAGGUAACGGCUCACCAUGGCUACGAUAGGUAGGGGGCCUGAGAGGGUGGUCCCCCAAACUGGUACUGGGACAAGGACCAGACUCCUACGGGAGGCAGCAGUGAGGAAUAUUGGUCAAUGGGCGCAAGCCUGAACCAGCCAUGCCGCGUGCAGGAAGAAUGCCCUAUGGGUUGUAAACUGCUUUUAUUUGGGAAUAAACCUCUUUACGUGUAGAGAGCUGAAGGUACCAAAUGAAUAAGCACCGGCUAACUCCGUGCCAGCAGCCGCGGUAA
rnacentral:rRNA from 1 species